rnacentral:tRNA from 1 species
GCAGGCGUAGUUCAGUGGCAGAAUCUCAGCUUCCCAAGCUGAUUAUGCGGGUUCGAUUCCCGUCGCCUGCUCCA